rnacentral:rRNA from 1 species
GACGAACGCUGGCGGCGUGCCUAAUACAUGCAAGUAGAACGCACAGUUUAUACCGUAGCUUGCUACACCAUAGACUGUGAGUUGCGAACGGGUGAGUAACGCGUAGGUAACCUGCCUGGUAGCGGGGGAUAACUAUUGGAAACGAUAGCUAAUACCGCAUAAUAUUAAUUAUUGCAUGAUAAUUAAUUGAAAGGUGCAAUUGCACCACUACCAGAUGGACCUGCGUUGUAUUAGCUAGUAGGUGAGGUAACGGCUCACCUAGGCGACGAUACAUAGCCGACCUGGGAGGGUGAUCGGCCACACUGGGACUGGGACACGGCCCAGGAUCCUACGGGAGGGAGCAGUAGGGAAACUUCGGCAAUGGACGAAAGUCUGACCGAGCAACGCCGCGUGAGGGAAGAAGGUUUUCGGAUCGUAAAGCUCUGUUGUAAGAGAAGAACGGGUGUGAGAGUGGAAAGUUCACACUGUGACGGUAUCUUACCAGAAAGGGACGGCUAACUACGUG